AUUAGUAAUAUAAGGAAAUUAUUUAAAAUUAUUAGGUAGAAUUUUAAUUUUAAACAAUGACAUUAAAAAUAUAUAUUAUAAUUAUAAUUGGGACCAGGAUUAGAUACCCUGUUACUUGUAUUUAAAAGAUUUUGGAAUAGUAAUAUUAAUGAAAUUUAACGGAUUUGGCGGCAAGAUAGCCAUUUAGAGGAACCUGCCCUAUAAACGAUGGUCCACGAUUUAACUCUACUUUUAUUUGUAUUCAGUUUGUAUACCGCUGUUGUCAGUCAGUUUCUUUAGAAAACUUUCAUUUAUGGUAAAGUCAUUGACUUCAAGUAAAGGUGCAGCUUAUAUAAAAGACAGAGGUGGGUUACAUUUAAAAGAUUAAAACGGAUAAAGUUUAUGAAAAUAGCUUUUGAAGGUGGAUUUAAUUGUAAAGUUUAUAUAAACUUGAUGUGAGCUCUAUCUUGUGUACACACCGCCCGUCGCUCUCUUUUUUAAAC
rnacentral:rRNA from 1 species